CUUGUGGUUUGUAAUUUAUAUAUUAUGUGAAAGAGUGAUUAGUAUAUGGAUUGUUUUGUCUCGCAAUAGGAAAGUCACAAAUGUUCAUGCUAGAGAAUCCAGUGCCACAUUCUUUGCAAAGGCCAAAUAUCUCUAGGAAUAUCACUGAUAGACCGAAUCGAAUAAGGUGGUCAUUCUUUUUUCUCUCCGACUUGAAAUUAAUUUCAACCGACGUAAUCACUGCCGCCUUAUAUAAUACUUCAAGACUGACAGUUUUGUUAAAAAUUUAAAUACAAUAUCAUGUAUUCUCUUAUUUCUCUCGUGUAAAUAUUAAAAGUACCGAAGAUUCAGCAAACAAGCCUGACUAGCCUAGUUUUGUUAGUUACUUUUGACAUUACUGAUGGCAUGAUACUUCAAAGGGCUUUAAAUAUUAAUUUCGCUUGCAUGGAUUGUUUUACAUCGUGAACUCUUGCGCUAGCUUUAAAUGUUGAAAAUUGUUUAUUUGCCUGGUAAUGCAUAAAAUAUAUAAUAAUACAAAAUUGUGGCGGCUAUAGUUUUGGAAUCGGUCAAUGUCAUUGGUAUACAUAUUAGAUAAUCUUUAUUCCAAACAAAAUACCAAUAAAGGUAGUACAAAGAAUACAAUUAUGAUAUAAAAUAUAUCAUAUUUAAUUACAUAUUCAAAUCGACUCUCGUCAGACCUCGUCAAACAUUCGAAUAGUAUACGUAUUAUUGUAUAUUACUGCC